UACCGACGACGACGCUUACGAAAAAGCACAAAAUACACCUUGAGUUAUUGUGCUUUCGUUAGGGAUCCUUCUCAUGAUGGUAACUGAUCGUUUGGUGUCGAUUUUUGGGUGGUUUGGGGGCUCGUCGGAGAAACUGAAAACUCGCCGACGUUUAUCCGAAAUCUCUCUCUCUCUCUCGAGAUUUUUCUC